AGAGGUGAAGAUACGCAGGACGUCCUCUAAAGCAACUUCCGUGGGUGCCAGGUUGUGGGCUGGGGGCGGUGCUGACCUUGAGAGAGCGGAGGAGGCGCAGGCGCAGCACAGUUUAAACUUGAUUUUGUGAGGGGACGAACAGCGUGACAAUUAAAAGAAGAUCUGGGAAUCAAAAGCUUCCUGAGGCCUUCACCAGAAGCAGAUGCUGGUGCCGUGCUUCUACAGCCUGCAGAACUGAAGGACUUUACAGCUUCUCUUUCGCAUAUCCAAAUUGCCAGCAUCACCGCUCUUGCACUCCAAGCCAUUAUUAAGUAAAGUAAAGAACACAAACACUGUGAUACUGCUACACUUGAUCUGAUAACCAAGAAGUCUACUAAGUGACUAACAGAGCAACUGGGAACCUAAUUCUGACCAAAAAGGAGGAAUUGUUUGGCUAAUUGGAAGUGACAGAAACCUUGGGAGAAAGCAACCGCAUACCAAGGAUAAUUAUAAGAAGAAGAGAAGACAUGGAGAAGAGGAGGGAGUAGUUGUGACCGUGGAGGCAGAGAAUGGAGUAAUGUGAUCAUAAAUCAAGGAAUGCUGACAGCCACUAAAGCUGGAGAAGGCCAAGGACAGAUAUUCAAUCCUCCCGUAGAAGUACAGCCCUGCUAAUGCAUUGAUUUUGGACUUCUGGCCUCAGAACUGUCUGGAAAGCAUGGAAAUUUGUAUCUUCAUUCACUUUUGUUUUCAUGGACUCUUUUCAUGUUUGAACUUUUCAUGGAUGCUUAAAAUAAGAAGAGUAAAUUCCAAAACCAGCUCUGUUCAUACUAGAGCAAGGCUGAGCAAAGCAUUGCUGACUACGUGCACAGUGUCAGGAGCCAAGCAAACUCUUCAGCCCUCAUUUUCUGGGGACCAAAAGCAGCUUCUGUGUUCUUGCCCUAGGGCUCACCCUUAGUGCCUUCUAGUACCUCCAAGGUUGUACCAUAUGCAAUGCUUACAGGCCUCAACUCUGAAGGCUAUUAGAGCUGAGUAUAAUUCUUAGCCUCUCUUAUCUGUGUGGCCUUGAUCUAAUUACUAAUCUAAGUUUCAGUUUCCUUGUGUAUAAAAUGGGAAUAAUAAGAAUAUCUUUCUCAUAGGGUUGUGCCAAGGAAUAAAUAAUGUAAAAUGAAUAAAAUAAUGUAACAUAAGUAAAAUAUUUCCAGUUUGUGAUAAACAGCACAGCAUUUAAGUUUGCUGAUAAAGGCUUGUCUACCUUAUUUUCUCCUAUCGUAUGUGCACCUUUUGUUUUUGUUUGUUUUUUUGAGACAGGGUCUCGCUCUGUCACCCAGGCUGGAGUGCAGUGGCACAUUCUUGGCUCACUGCAACCUCCGCCACCCUGGCUCAAGCCAUCCUUCCACCUCAGCUUCACAAGUAGCUGGGACCACAGGUGCCCACCACCACACCCAGCUAAUUUUUUGUAUUUUUGGUAGAGAUGGAGUUUCACCGUGUUGCCCAGGCUGGUCUUGAACUCCUGAGCUCAAACGAUCAACCCACCUCAGCCUCCCAAAGCUCUGGGAUUAUAGGCAUUACCACUGCACCCAGCCUAUAUGUGCCUUUAACUCCAUUGUAGAAUGCAUAUUGUGUAGAGUGUAUUCUAUUUUUUAUUAUCACAUCAUGUGAAAAGUUCAGGACUAAUUUUAACAAAAUUUGACGUUAUGUUUAUUAUGGUCUGACUGAAACUAAAGAUUCCAAAAUGCAAAUAAUCCCUCAGGGCAGCUGAAACUAAAGCACAACAUGUAUGACUACUCUUAGAAGAGGCGUGCCAUAAGCAACAAGACACAAUGGAAGGGAAUAAACAAGCAGUGGUUUCUGAGGGUCAGGGACUCCAAGUGGCAGUUAAUUUGAAUUGACUGCUUCCCACUUGGGUAACUCUAGGUAUAUACUCCAGAGGAAUUAGUAGCAGGAAAUUCAUUCUUUUUUAAUAUAAAUUUCUUUUGAUAACAAUGUAUUCGUUAUGAGGACAUGAGCAUGGGAAAGAAAAGCUAAGAUGUUAAACAGAUGAAAAUAUUUACAUAACUUCAAAUAGUUGCAAAUACAAAGCCAAGGAGAAGUAGAUUGAAUUACAUUUUCUAAAGAAACUGUCGGACCCAGCCACUGAGCUUUCUCAUCAUUCUCCAUGGUCCCCAAACCUCUGCACCCUCCUGUUCCAUCCUCUCCCCCAACCUGGAUAAGCAAUGUAAAAGCAAUUUCAGUGUUUAAGUUGAACUGUGGUUAGUGUAGCUGAGUCACAGAAUAAACUGGAAAGAGCCAUUCAAGGAAAAAGAAAAACACGUACUAUAAUUGAAGACAAACAUCACUCAGUCUAUAACGCAUUUUCAGGAAUUCAUGUAUGUGUUUUUAUAUAUAAGAUAUAUAAAUAUAAUAUGCAUAAAUAUAGUCACUGGGCAAUCAGCAGAAAGUAUUUAAGGUAACUUAUAUGCAUUGCCAAAAUCUGCGAUAUAUCAUAUUUUAUUUAGUGCAUCCAAAUACCCCAAUUAUUACUAAAUGGAAGCAAGCUGAUAAGCUGCAAGCUAUCUCUAGAAAAUUGGGCAUGAGACUAUGUUAGAAAUCUUCCAGGAAUAGAAGUAAACAGAAAACAACUAAGAUUAGUUGCUUGCAUAUUUUUAGUUAAUAUUAAAUUAAAAAUGUACCGGCUGGGCACGGUGGCUCACGCCUGUAAUCCCAGCACUUUGGGAGGCCGAGGCGGGCGGAUCACGAGGUCAGG
ensembl:lncRNA TMEM161B-DT TMEM161B divergent transcript